GCUGGGUGCAGUGGCAUAUGCCUGUAGUCCCAGCUACCCAGGAGGCUGAGGUGGGAGGAUCACUUGAGCCGAGGAGUUCUGGGCUGUAGUGUGCCAUGCCGAUCUGGUGUCCGCACUAAGUUCAGCAUCAAUAUGGUGACCUCCCAGGAGCAGGGACCACCAGGUUGCCUAAGGAGGGGUGAAUCGGCCCGGGUCAGAAACGGAGCAGGUCAAAACUCCUGUGCUGAUCAGUAGUGGGAUUGUGCCUGUGAAUAAUCACUGCACUCCAGCCUGGGCAACAUAGCAAGACCCCGUCUCU
rnacentral:SRP_RNA from 1 species